CCUACGGGUGGCAGCAGUGGGGAAUUUUGCGCAAUGCUCGUAAGAGUGACGCAGCGACGCCGCGUGAAUGACGAAGGCCUUCGGGUCGUAAAGUUCUUUCGACCGGGAAGAAAAUGCCUAGAAGUAACUGUGUAUGUAUUGACGGUACCUGUAUAAGCAGCCCCGGCUAACUCCGGGCCAACAGCCGCGGUAAUACGGAGGGGGGGAGCGUUGUUCGGAGGGACUGGGCGGAAGGAGAACGUAGGCGGUGUUGUAAGUCAUGAGGCAAAGACUAGAGCUCAACUUUAGUAAGGCUAGUGAUACUGUAAUACUGGAGUAUCAGAGAGGAUUGCAGAAUGCCUGGUGUAGCGGUGAAAUGCGUAGAUAUCAGGAAGAAUACCGUUAGCGAAGGCAGCAAUCUGGCUGGAAACUGACGCUGAGGUGCGAAAGCGUGGGUAGCAAACAGGAUUAGAUACCCGUGUAGUC
rnacentral:rRNA from 1 species